GCUCUGAAUAUCAACAUUCCAAGCAGUUUCCAGACACUUCAGGCUCCUUCAGUGACAGAAUGAUAAAAUAAUGCGAAGAUAUUUCCAGAGAAGUGGAGAGAAUGUGUGCUGAUCCCAUCCCAGUUCUGAAGCUCAUGGGAUUUCUGCUACAGACUCCAUCAGGACAGUUUUAGUUCCUGCAGAUUUCUUUGCACUGAGCUCGGAGUCUUACAUUUACGGUUUGGAUCGUUCGUCCUGGUCUAGUUUGUCACUAUCAUUGAAAAGUUCUGCUCUAGGUGACUUUGAUGGUGUCAGCUCAGUCAGCGCCAAAGCAAAUGCAAGGUAACUGACAUCUGAAGAAAAACAAAACAUACCAGAUGAAGUCCUGACUCUUCUGAAAGCUCCCACUGACUCUAGGAGAGUCAACAAUUUUCCCAUAGCAUUUUUGUCUCUCUUGCUUCAUCUUCAAAAUUAAAUGCUGUCCUGAACAAACUCAGUGUUUAUCUAAUUAAUCUUAUUCUAUAAUAGACUGAGCAGUUAUGCCCUGAGACAUACAGACAUAUGGAAGUUUC
rnacentral:lncRNA from 1 species